rnacentral:lncRNA from 1 species
UUUUUUUUUUUUCUUUUCUUUUUUGGCUACCUGCAGCAUAUGGAAUUCCAAGGCCAGGGAUCAAAUCUGAGCAGCAGCUGCAGCAACAAUGGAUCCUUAACCUGCUGCGCCACGGUAGGAACGCCCAUCAAAGUCUUAACACUGUAGAUUUUAUCAAAUAUCAGUCUGAAAACCAGGCAUAGAAAACACUUCCCCCUUGAGUGCAAGGGACUCUGUAAGACCCAGGGCAGGACUGAAAGGAGCUCUAGAGACAAUUUGGUAACAUGAGAACUAAGAGCAGGAGUAGUAGUUUUUUUUAAAUCUUAAAUUCAAAAUCGGUUUUUUUCUUCUACAUAAUAGGGAGCCAUCAAUAGCUGAGGACAAGAAAAUAUGGUUGGCUUUUUUUUUUUUUUUUUUUUUUUUUUUUUGCUGUGCCCACAGCAUGUGGAAGUUCCAAGCCAAGGAUCAAACCUGAGUCACAGCAGUGAUGAUACAAAGUCAUUAACUGCUAGGCCACCAGGGAACUCCCACAGUUGGCUCUUGAACAGAACAUUCGAACUGUGUUAGUCCACUUUUAUAUGGAAAUUUUUCAGUAAAUACAUAUUACAGUACUACACAACCUCUGGUUGGUUGAAUCCAUGGAUGCAGAACCACAGGUAUGGAAGGCCAGCUGUAAAGUUAUACAUGAAUUUUCCUCUGCACCCCAAAUGCUCACAGCAUUGUUGAAUGACCAACUUGAAAGUAAGAUCAGGAGUUCCCAUCAUGGUGCAGUGGAAACAAAUCUGACUAGGAACCAUGAGAUUUCUAGUUGAUUCACAAUGAUGUGUUGGUUUCUGUUACAUAGCAAAGUGAUUCGGUCAUGCAUAAACUUUUUCGUAUUCUUUUCCAUUAUGGUUUAUCAGAGGAUACUGAAUAUAGUUCCCUGUGCUUGUUGCUUAUUCUAUAUACGAUAGUUUACAACACUAGCUAAAAUUUUUAGAAAUUUUCUUGGGACUCUCAUUUCCCAGACCAGGGCUUGAACCUGGGCCACAAUGGUGAAAGCCCCAAGUCCUAACCACUAGACUACCAGGGAACUCCCAACACUGCUGAAUCUGAGGUGUUCAGUAGCCACCAUCCCAGUAAGUUCUGUUGUACAGUGCUACUCUAGAAUUUCAUGGACUCUAGGUUAAGGACUCCUGCCCCAAAUGAACUCUACCCCUAAUCAAAUUGGUAUUUAGUUAUAAAAGACCAUCUAUAAAAGCUACUUGCUCUAUCUGAAUACAAAUAGGCCUCAAAGAAAUGGAGGAAUAGUAUCAGUAAUUCUGGAUAACUCUGAAAGUCUACCUACCUUUCAGUACCUGUUAAUAACCUAGAAUCAGAGGGAACUCAACACAUGGUUCAUCCUUCAUUCUUACCACCUCAAGGUAUGUGCAGUUUUGCAAACAUUCCCAUGCCCCACAUUCUACGUAAUAAUCCAAGUGGCUUUUUCAAUGCUAAGCCUUCAGGAACUUGUUGCGCAUUAGUAACAGCUAAUACUGAAUUCAUAUUAAGCACUUGGUAUGAUUUUAAGCAUCCUACAAAUGUUAGCCCAUUUAGCUGUCCCUCAGGGUUAUAAGGUGGAUGUAGUAUUAUCCCCUCGAAAUAGAUGAGGGAACUGAGGUUUGGGACUUAGUGAGAUUAAAUAAUUUGUCUGAGAUGAUGUAGUAAAUGCAAGAAAUGUGGUUAUUGGGUUAUUAGAAUUAUUAAUAAUCAUGGUUAUUAGAAUAAUAGCGGUUAUUAGAAUCUCUUGUCUCCUGAAAUAUGUCUAGAACAUGGAAAAAAUUGUCUUAGAGGCCUCUGAGGUCACAUGUCUCAACAAGGUUUUCUGAAAUGGACCAAUACCAGCCUGUGUGCCAGGAAGCUUCUGGGUCUGCACUUGCCACAACAGCUUGUGGUCCUCCUCUCUGGAGUGGAACAAGAAAAAGCAAAUUACUCAAAGCUCCUUCCACUCUCUCAUUCAAACUCCACCUUCUUCGUCCCCACAUCACUUUUCAUCAUCACAGCAGCCUGAACUUCUGCAACAGACUAAACUGUGAUCCUGGGCCAGUGACUUAACUGACACUCUGUAACAAGGGGGUGAUAAGAGUUCCCCUUGUAGCACAGCAGAAACGCAUCCGACUAAGAACCAUGAGGUUGUGGGUUUGAUCCUAGGCCUCUCAGUGGGUUAAGGAGUUGCCCUGAGCUGCGGCGGAGGUUGCAGAUGCGGCUCCAAUCUGGCGUGGCUGUGGCUGUGGUGUAGGCUGGCAGCUACAGCUCUAAUUCAAACCCUAGCC